CUCCCGUUCUUGCCCUGGCACAUCAGACCUUUGAGCAGAAAGACUGAGGAGCCCUUUGGGAGCAUGGAGAUACAAGUGAGGGUGAUCACAUUUCCUGAAGCCAUCACUACCUCUUCAUAGACCAUCUGGGAAUCCAGACCCUUGACUUCAAACAUUCCCAAGGAGACCUGCAAAACAAUUGAUACUGACAGAGAGAAGCUAACCCAAUGCAGUAUCUGAGAAGAAUGCAGAGUCAUUAUAGAUGAGAAAACUGGGCUUGAUGAAGUUGGUUUCUUCAAUGAUGCAACCAGCCCUGCUUCAAUUCCUCUCUGGAGGGAGGAAGACUCAAAAUUUCAGAAACACACAACUCCAUUCCCAUAGG